GACGAACGCUGGCGGCGUGCUUAACACAUGCCAGUCGAACGGAAAGGCCCUGCUUUUGUGGGGUGCUCGAGUGGCGAACGGGUGAGUAACACGUGAGUAACCUGCCCUUGACUUUGGGAUAACUUCAGGAAACUGGGGCUAAUACCGGAUAGGAGCUCCUGCUGCAUGGUGGGGGUUGGAAAGUUUCGGCGGUUGGGGAUGGACUCGCGGCUUAUCAGCUUGUUGGUGGGGUAGUGGCUUACCAAGGCUUUGACGGGUAGCCGGCCUGAGAGGGUGUCCGGCCACAUUGGGACUGAGAUACGGCCCAGACUCCUACGGGAGGCAGCAGUGGGGAAUAUUGCACAAUGGGCGGAAGCCUGAUGCAGCAACGCCGCGUGCGGGAUGACGGCCUUCGGGUUGUAAACCGCUUUCGCCUGUGACGAAGCGUGAGUGACGGUAAUGGGUAAAGAAGCACCGGCUAACUACGUG
rnacentral:rRNA from 1 species